rnacentral:rRNA from 1 species
GAUGAACGCUGGCGGCGUGCUUAACACAUGCAAGUCGAACGAUGAAGCCCAGCUUGCUGGGUGGAUUAGUGGCGAACGGGUGAGUAACACGUGAGUAACCUGCCCUUGACUCUAGGAUAAGCCCGGGAAACUGGGUCUAAUACUGGAUAGGAACGUCUACCGCAUGGUGGGUGUUGGAAAGAAUUUCGGUCAUGGAUGGACUCGCGGCCUAUCAGCUUGUUGGUGAGGUAAUGGCUCACCAAGGCGACGACGGGUAGCCGGCCUGAGAGGGUGACCGGCCACACUGGGACUGAGACACGGCCCAGACUCCUACGGGAGGAAGCAGUGGGGAAUAUUGCACAAUGGGCGAAAGCCUGAUGCAGCGACGCCGCGUGAGGGAUGACGGCCUUCGGGUUGUAAACCUCUUUCAGUAGGGAAGAAGCGAAAGUGACGGUACCUGCAGAAGAAGCACCGGCUAACUACGUG